UACGUAGGUGGCAAGCGUUGUCCGGAAUUAUUGGGCGUAAAGCGCGCGCAGGCGGUCCUUCAAGUCUGUCGUCAAGGACUGGGGCUUAACCCUGGAAAGGCGGUGGAAACUGAAGCGCUAGAGUGCGGUAGGGGUAGAGGGAAUUCCCGGUGUAGCGGUGAAAUGCGUAGAGAUCGGGAAGAACAUCGGUGGCGAAAGCGCUCUACUGGACCGCAACUGACACUCAGGGACGAAAGCUAGGGGAGCGAAUGGG
rnacentral:rRNA from 1 species